AGAAGAAGAAGAAGAAAAGAUUGAAGGGUGUCCGAGAGCAUGAAUUAGGGUGCUAUACAUUUCCAUUUAGGCGCAAUUUAAGUAUUUUCGGGCAAUCGUGAGAAGGGUCGCGUGUAGCAUUCCUUUUACCUGAGUUGACAUAGCAAGUCGAGGUGGGUUCCGAGUUGCCGAAAACGGCGAAUUUCCUCUUAUGUCUAUUUUGGCACAAGUUAAAUACUUUUUAUCGAUCCUCACAUGAAA